ACCCUAUCUAGAGACCUGAUUUCAGUUGUAGAUACAGAGAAGAUUAGCAUGGCCCCUGCGCAAGGAUGACGCAAAUUCAAUGGGAAUGUUGCCACUAACUU
rnacentral:snRNA from 1 species